AUUGAACGCUGGCGGCAUGCUUUACACAUGCAAGUCGAACGGCAGCGCGGGCUUCGGCCUGGCGGCGAGUGGCGCACGGGUGAGUAAUGCAUCGGAACGUGCCCAGUAGUGGGGGAUAGCACGGCGAAAGCCGGAUUAAUACCGCCUACGACCUGAGGGUGAAAGCGGGGGAGCGAAAGGCCUCGCGCUCUUGGGGCGGCCGAUGUCGGGUUAGCUAGUUGGUGGGGUAAAGGCUUACCAAGGCGACGAUCCGUAGCUGGUCUGAGAGGACGACCAGCCACACUGGAACUGAGACACGGCCCAGACUCCUACGGGAGGCAGCAGUGGGGAAUUUUGGACAAAGGGGGCAACCCUGAUCCAGCCAUGCCGCGUGCGGGAAGAAGGCCUUCGGGUUGUAAACCGCUUUUGUUCGGGAAGAAAUCCUCUGGGCUAAUACCCCGGGGGGAUGACGGUACCGGAAGAAUAAGCACCGGCUAACUACGUG
rnacentral:rRNA from 1 species